CAAGGAUUGUCCACUUAUCUCAGUAAUUAAGGCACAAAGAGACCCAUGCUGUUUGGGUCUGACUUUUCCAAAUCUGAGGGAUGAUGGUUUUAGCAAAUUCAGUGUGGACCAGAUCUUUGAUUCACUGUGGUCAUUCAGUCGUUUCUGAGUCAUUGCUGGACAGCAGAAGCAGACAGCUGAAUCACAGCUCAGAAAACCGUAAUGAGCUGAGCAGCAUUACAGCUUGUUUCGCUUAAUAUUUAUUCUUAAAACAUGACUUCAUUUGUGAUGGCUAUACUUGGAGAUCCAGAUACAAGUCCAGCGUGUUUGCUGUAACAAGUUAAUGCGAUGAAAUAUGGAAAAACCUAUUUGCCUCUGUCUUCAAAAUUUGCACAAAGCUCCUUUCUGGUGAGGAUUGCGUUGCACUGAUCUCUACACAUUUUCCUGGCAUGCAGUGCUGUUUGGCCCUUUAUGGGAUGGGCACAAAGACCCUGUGUCUACCUUCCCAGUGGGCUGCAUAAGAGACCGGGCACAGUGGAGACACAUACAAAGGGGUCUGUGAAGUGCUACGGUGAGGACCCCCCGGCAGCCUCUGCUCUCAACAUAUCCUCCGUGAAUCAGUUCCGCCCUUCCCUGAUUGCGGCUGUCUGAAAAUAAAUCCCUCUCUGAAAGCGCUCGUUGGUGAUAAUCAUUUUACUGGACAUUUUAUCAGGAGGCAGAGCCAAUUGAUGUGGUGUAACACAGAG
rnacentral:lncRNA from 1 species